CGUCUAGGCGGACUGUCAAGUCAGGUGUGAAAGCCCACGGCUCAACCGUGGAAUAGCACUUGAAACUGGCAGUCUUGAGUACGGAAGAGGAGAGCGGAAUUCCUGGUGUAGCGGUGAAAUGCGUAGAUAUCAGGAAGAACACCGGUGGCGAAGGCGGCUCUCUGGUCCGAUACUGACGCUGAAGCGCGAAAGUGUGGGGAGCGAACAGGAUUAGAUACCCUGGUAGUCC
rnacentral:rRNA from 1 species